rnacentral:snoRNA from 1 species
AUCAACCAUGUGAAGAACCGACGAUGCAGAUGACCUCGGGAUCCUGUUUACGGGAUGAACCUGCCUAGAGGCGCUGCAUCUACAAGACAUCGACGGGCAAGUCUGAGGU